UACGUAGGGGGCUAGCGUUGUCCGGAAUCAUUGGGCGUAAAGAGCGUGUAGGCGGUCCGGUAAGUCCGCUGUGAAAGUCGGGGGCUCAACCCUCGAAUGCCGGUGGAUACUGUCGGGCUAGAGUGCGGAAGAGGCGAGUGGAAUUCCUGGUGUAGCGGUGAAAUGCGCAGAUAUCAGGAGGAACACCUAUUGCGAAGGCAGCUCGCUGGGACGUUACUGACGCUGAGACGCGAAAGCGUGGGGAGCGAACAGG
rnacentral:rRNA from 1 species